rnacentral:rRNA from 1 species
AACGAACGCUGGCGGCAUGCCUAACACACGCAAGUCGAACGAGACCUUCGGGUCUAGUGGCGCACGGGUGCGUAACGCGUGGGAACCUGCCCUUAGGUUCGGAAUAACUCCCCGAAAGGGGUGCUAAUACCGGAUAAUGUCUUCGGACCAAAGAUUUAUCGCCUUUGGAUGGGCCCGCGUUGGAUUAGCUAGUUGGUAGGGUAAAAGCCUACCAAGGCGACGAUCCAUAGCUGGUCUGAGAGGAUGAUCAGCCACACUGGGACUGAGACACGGCCCAGACUCCUACGGGAGGCAGCAGUGGGGAAUAUUUGACAAUGGGCGAAAGCCUGAUCCAGCAAUGCCGCGUGAGUGAUGAAGGCCUUAGGGUUGUAAAGCUCUUUUACCCGGGAUGAUAAUGACAGUACCGGGAGAAUAAGCUCCGGCUAACUCCGUG